AAGACCAAUAAGAGGGAGAGGCUGUUGCUGUUCAAAGUAACAAGGAAAUAGAGAUGACCGCAUCAGCACAAGGCAUGAAGUCAACAGGCAACUGUGGAGGGGCUAUUGAAGCAGCAGCAGCAAUGAUAGCAAACUUUAUUCAGAUGUAUUGUGAUGACUUUUCCUAGAAGGAACAUUUCUGCUGCAAGAAAAUGAACAAAAAGACCAGAUCAAAACAGCAAGAAACCAACAGAAAGAUUUUAAAAAAGAAAACCUGUGACUGUACUAGAUUACUGAACAAUUAAGAAGCAAAAGAGACAGGGCACAUUGACUGAUAGCAAAGGGAGCUACAGUAUUUGUCAGUAUCUGUCUGAAUCCAGUAUCUGGAAAUACCAAAGAGAUUUCCUCUCUUCUAGCAGUGCCAGGAUCUCAACUAAUGUAAUAAUGCUGAGUAACAGGAAAUCAACCAAAAGCACAACUGACUUUGCAAAAGGAAUUGGGUGAACUCACCUAGCUCAACACGCUGCUUGACUUCCUGGAAAUCUACUGGGGGACAGAUAUAUUUGUUGUUUUCCAAAGAAAAAACUUCCAACAUGUUAUACAAGGGAAUGCAUAGACAGUAUUUUCAAAAUAACUGUGAAACUUCCAAUAAAUUGCUUGGGUGUAAUUGAGGCUCUUACUAGUCCAUUGUGUAAUACAUUAUAUUUGUCCAUUUCUUGUAUUUGAAUCCUUCCCUUCCCUUAAAGAGCUUUUAGAAAGAGAUACAAAGAGAUAUAUAAGAAGGAAAUAUUAAAACAAGAUGGUUAGACCUGCCAUCCAAAAUUUGAAAAGACUUCUACUUUUGUAUUUUUCAAUAAUGACCAUGCUGGUUGGAGAAUUUGGAGAACUGAUGUAUACAUCUGCAGGGCACUCAAGUGGAGGAAUUCUGAUUUAAGCUAAGCAAGGGACUUGGCUGUGACUUUC